CAGGGGAGGCCGCCGCUCGCCGCCGCACCGCGCCCGGCCCCGCAGGUGGGCGAGCCGCAGCGGGGUCCUCCGGGUCCCAAGAUGGCCGCCGCUGCCUGGCCCCCUCCUGCGGUUUGCUGCGCCGCGUGAGUACCUGGCAAGCUCCUACUGUGGUGCCUUGGAGUCGGGGAGGGGAUCUCAGCAAGAGGAUUUCUGCCCAUCUUGAACUGGACACGAGAUGACUUUGUUCUUUGGGUGACUACUGCUAGACAGACGCAUCCUGUUGUGAUAAAGGAGACCAGCUGGAUUUAGGACUGCGGCGUCGUGUUUGUGGGCUCGCAGCACCAGCCAGCAUGGGGGAGUGCAGUGCUUGCUCUGCCACUUACUCGGCUGCUGAGGAAAUUGGACACUAGUGGAAAUGGACAAGGAUGGAGCACAGAGGACACGGGGCCCUGCCAGGUGCCGUGCAGCAGCUGGUGUUGUGAAUCAGGCCGUCACCAGUCGGAGAACGGCUACUUCACAACACCAGGGUGGCACUGCACCACACUUCUACACCAGCCAGAGGAGCAGUGAGGGUCCCAGCAUGGGCACAGCCAGUGGAGCCCAGACCUGCUGAGGUAAUCAGGCGCUCUACUCCUGUUCAGGUAACCAACCUCCCAUAGAAGUCUGGAAUAGAAGUCAGGCCCCCUAAACAUCUCUGUGGGUCCAGUCCUUAGGCUCCUGUGUGCUGUGUGAAUUGGGAAGAGGUAUGGAAGGCAGUGGAGUGAGCAGUCUCUAUAUGCUAGGCACAUCUCCCAGCAGAGAUGGCUGUGGUCCCUGCCCUGCUGGAACACCUCAAUGCAUGCUUUCUAUAAAGGAUGCUGUGGCUACAUUCCUUGGAAAUGACACUAAAGCUGCCUGGUUCUGAUCUGUGGAAGCAGCUUCCUGCUCUGGAAUGCAGGACAGUGGGGGCUUCUCACUGGUGGGGCUUUUCCUUUCCUCCCAUCCCAAGUAAGACUGGCUGUGCGCUCCUGUGUGUUGGCCACCUGCUCUCCUGUCUGUCACGAACAUUUGCAUGGAUGUAAAGCUAAGAGGAGAAAUCAAAGAAAGUAGCAUAGAAGUGAUUAAGGAUUUUAUGAAAGUUUUUUCUUGUUAUCAUAACUCAAGCCAGUAGUAUAAACUACCUCAGUCUCAUCCUGGAUAUGUGAUGCUGGCAGGAAGAUAGAUGCAGGGGAGAGUCAGAAUUCACACGAGAGCAGAAAUAGCACGGGACAGUC